UACGUAGGUGGCAAGCGUUGUCCGGAUUUACUGGGCGUAAAGGGUGCGUAGGCGGCGCGGUAAGUCGGGUGUGAAAUCUCGGAGCUUAACUCCGAAACUGCAUUCGAUACUGCCGUGCUUGAGGACUGGAGAGGAGACUGGAAUUUACGGUGUAGCGGUGAAAUGCGCAGAUAUCAGGAGGAACACCGGUGGCGAAGGCGGGUCUCUGGGCCGAUACUGACGCUGAGGAGCGAAAGCGUGGGGAGCAAACAGG
rnacentral:rRNA from 1 species